rnacentral:lncRNA from 1 species
CGGGAGCGCGCCCCUGGCGCCGCCCAGUGCUCCUUUCCGGGUCUAUGGCGCUCUAAGCUCCCUCUGCCCAGGGAGGUCCCAAGGGGUUCCGUCGCCCUGUUGCUCGGUGUGUCUCAGCGAGCUCACCUGGAGCUCCCAGAAGCCCGAAAAUGGUGAGUGCCGCUGCCGGGGAUCCCCAGAGGUGGGUGGGAGCGGCCGGGAAAGGGACCCAGCCUCCCGCGGCAGCUGCGGAGUCCCGCGGAGUCUGCUGCGGAAGCCACUCGCUCGUCAGGCAGCCGGACCGGCGUCCUGUCCCGUCGGUCCUCUGACCGGGGGACCCGCUCUGGGCAGUUGGGAGAGCGCAUCCCCGCGCGGCCGGGGACUGCGCGGAGAGGGAGGCGCGAGCGCAGGCUCCCAGCUCGCAGAACCGAGUCCGUCCCUCCUUCCUCCGCGGACCGACCUGAUUGCCUUGAUUUUUCUCGGUGUUUGGGAAGCGGGUUUCGAAUCCGUGAAGAAUUCUCCCCCAAAACUAGGAAAACCGACCUCAGUGAGGCAGUUGCUGUGCGUGGCGAGGGUGGGAGUAGUGGCCCACGAGAAGGAACGACCCGAUUUUAAGACGGAGUUGUACAGGCGGG